AAUGUGGUGUCUGAAAAAGAAUUACUUUGAUAGAGUGAAAUAUGUGAAUUAUCACCCUCAUUA
rnacentral:tRNA from 1 species